AGCGAUAAGCCGGCUGCCGCUAAAAAGCCGUUUUUGGGCGGUUUCUUUGGAGGAAAGUCCGGGCUCCGCAGGGCAUGAUGCCGGGUAACACCCGGGGCUAUGCGGCGAAAGCCAAAUAGCACAGACAGCGCAACAGAAAAUAUACAUCCUUGCCACCCGACCACCUAAAAUGUUAGUUAAUUUGGUCUUUUAGGUCUAUAUGUUGACAUUUUAAGUGGUCGGGCGACAGGGGAAUGGUGAAAUGGCGGGGUAAGAGCCCACCUAGACAGUGGUAACACUGUUUAUGGCAAGCCUCAUCAGGAGCAAAGUCAGACAGUGGAUAUAUUGGCUAUGCCAGUAAUGGCAACCAGUAAGACGGCUGCCCGCCGUUUAACCACGGGUAGACUGCUAAGACAGAUGGCAGCCUUUUAAGCCCCUAAAGGGGUUUAAUAACAGAACCCGGCUUACGGUUUAUCGCUAUUU
rnacentral:RNase_P_RNA from 1 species